GCCAGUGAAAUCACUACGUUAUGCACAACCCUGCUAUAUUUAGACGAAUUUACACAAAUAGGCAGAAUUACCUUUAGAGAAGAAAGCAGGCAACUUUGGCGUCCCUUUUA